rnacentral:rRNA from 1 species
UGGGGAAUAUUGGACAAUGGGCGAAAGCCUGAUCCAGCCAUGCCGCGUGUGUGAAGAAGGUCUUCGGAUUGUAAAGCACUUUAAGUUGGGAGGAAGGGCAGUAAGUUAAUACCUUGCUGCUUUGACGUUACCGACAGAAUAAGCACCGGCUAACUCUGUGCCAGCAGCCGCGGUAAUACAGAGGGUGCAAGCGUUAAUCGGAAUUACUGGGCGUAAAGCGCGCGUAGGUGGUUUGUUAAGUUGGAUGUGAAAGCCCCGGGCUCAACCUGGGAACUGCAUUCAAAACUGGCAAGCUAGAGUUCGGUAGAGGGGGGUGGAAUUUCCUGUGUAGCGGUGAAAUGCGUAGAUAUAGGGAGGAAUACCAGUGGCGAAGGCGGCCACCUGGACUGAUACUGACACUGAGGUGCGAAAGCGUGGGGAGCAAACA